AGAGUUUGAUCAUGGCUCAGAUUGAACGCUGGCGGCAGGCCUAACACAUGCAAGUCGAACGGUAACAGGAAGCAGCUUGCUGCUUCGCUGACGAGUGGCGGACGGGUGAGUAAUGUCUGGGAAACUGCCUGAUGGAGGGGGAUAACUACUGGAAACGGUAGCUAAUACCGCAUAACGUCGCAAGACCAAAGAGGGGGACCUUCGGGCCUCUUGCCAUCGGAUGUGCCCAGAUGGGAUUAGCUUGUUGGUGGGGUAACGGCUCACCAAGGCGACGAUCCCUAGCUGGUCUGAGAGGAUGACCAGCCACACUGGAACUGAGACACGGUCCAGACUCCUACGGGAGGCAGCAGUGGGGAAUAUUGCACAAUGGGCGCAAGCCUGAUGCAGCCAUGCCGCGUGUAUGAAGAAGGCCUUCGGGUUGUAAAGUACUUUCAGCGGGGAGGAAGGGAGUAAAGUUAAUACCUUUGCUCAUUGACGUUACCCGCAGAAGAAGCACCGGCUAACUCCGUGCCAGCAGCCGCGGUAAUACGGAGGGUGCAAGCGUUAAUCGGAAUUACUGGGCGUAAAGCGCACGCAGGCGGUUUGUUAAGUCAGAUGUGAAAUCCCCGGGCUCAACCUGGGAACUGCAUCUGAUACUGGCAAGCUUGAGUCUCGUAGAGGGGGGUAGAAUUCCAGGUGUAGCGGUGAAAUGCGUAGAGAUCUGGAGGAGUACCGGUGGCGAAGGCGGCCCCCUGGACGAAGACUGACGCUCAGGUGCGAAAGCGUGGGGAGCAAACAGGAUUAGAUACCCUGGUAGUCCACGCCGUAAACGAUGUCGACUUGGAGGUUGUGCCCUUGAGGCGUGGCUUCCGGAGCUAACGCGUUAAGUCGACCGCCUGGGGAGUACGGCCGCAAGGUUAAAACUCAAAUGAAUUGACGGGGGCCCGCACAAGCGGUGGAGCAUGUGGUUUAAUUCGAUGCAACGCGAAGAACCUUACCUGGUCUUGACAUCCACGGAAGUUUUCAGAGAUGAGAAUGUGCCUUCGGGAACCGUGAGACAGGUGCUGCAUGGCUGUCGUCAGCUCGUGUUGUGAAAUGUUGGGUUAAGUCCCGCAACGAGCGCAACCCUUAUCCUUUGUUGCCAGCGGUCCGGCCGGGAACUCAAAGGAGACUGCCAGUGAUAAACUGGAGGAAGGUGGGGAUGACGUCAAGUCAUCAUGGCCCUUACGACCAGGGCUACACACGUGCUACAAUGGCGCAUACAAAGAGAAGCGACCUCGCGAGAGCAAGCGGACCUCAUAAAGUGCGUCGUAGUCCGGAUUGGAGUCUGCAACUCGACUCCAUGAAGUCGGAAUCGCUAGUAAUCGUGGAUCAGAAUGCCACGGUGAAUACGUUCCCGGGCCUUGUACGCACCGCCCGUCACACCAUGGGAGUGGGUUGCAAAAGAAGUAGGUAGCUUAACCUUCGGGAGGGCGCUUACCACUUUGUGAUUCAUGACUGGGGUGAAGUCGUAACAAGGUAACCGUAGGGGAACCUGCGGUUGGAUCACCU
rnacentral:rRNA from 1 species